rnacentral:rRNA from 1 species
GCAAGUCGAACGGACUCAUAUUGAAACCUAGUGAUUUAUGAGUUAGUGGCGGACGGGUGAGUAACGCGUGGAAAACCUGCCGUAUACUGGGGGAUAACACUUAGAAAUAGGUGCUAAUACCGCAUAAGCGCACGGCUCCGCAUGGGGCAGUGUGAAAAACUCUGGUGGUAUACGAUGGUUCCGCGUCUGAUUAGCUGGUUGGUGGGGUAACGGCCUACCAAGGCGACGAUCAGUAGCCGGCCUGAGAGGGUGAAC